UUGUCUAUACAUUGUAUUUUAAGUAACAUGGUAAAUGCAGUAACAACAUUCAGCCUAUCCGUAUAAAUUUUUAUGACAUGCUCAGUAAUCCCAGCUGAAAAAUCAUCAGCUAGUGUCAAUGGGUAAAAACUAAAAAAAUAUACAAUUAACUGCUUUGUGCACCAAUUGAAGGAAACAAGUUAACUUAAUAAUAAAGUGGAGAUGUCCAGUCCCUGUACAGACUUACACACUUGCUUUACAAUGCUCACAGUUCAGAAUGGUUGUUUCCCUUUCAGAUGAUAGGAAACUUUGGCCCACUUAUUCUACAGAUAAUUUUCUGUGCAGGAAAUCUUGUGGCCAACUGAUUCUCCUCCUUCCCCCCCCCCCCCUUUGUGUUACUUUUUUUUCCGUUUUGUAAAUCAAACUACUUUCUUCUGGGAUUUUGGUCUCAUAUUAGACAAUUCCAAAUCAUUGUCAGUUAUGUUUUCAACUAACAUGACAAAGAUGUACAGAUAUCAGAUUCUACCUGGUACAAUGAAUGUAGAGGGUGGUUGUUAUUAAAUAUUCACUACUUGAGAGGGCUCCUCAUGAAAGACAUCACAAUGAAACUUUGUGGAAACAUUUGUAAGGACAUGCGGAAGAGGAAUGACAAAUCGUUGAAAGAAACAUUUUAAUUGCCACAUGAAAGUGUAACAUUUCAAAUAGUAAAGGGCAGAGCAAUUAGUCAAAUAAUGUUUAUUGUAUAUCCAGAUUUCAGCCACUGUGACCAAAAUAUGGGUAUGCAAUUGACAUUUGUUACAGAUUGCUAAACCUUUUAUUACUUGAAAUAAAGACACCAGGCGCAUCUGCUUUCCAAUGGUAACAUCUUAAUUGCGUACAAUGUUUACACUCCAGGUCACAAAGGUUGCUUAAUGUGACAACCAUCUGCACUAUAGAUACCACUCCACAAUUCUCUCCCCCCCCCCCUCCCCCCUUCUUCGAAGUGUGUACCAUGGAAUGUUAAGCUGUCUUGACAACUCACACACUGCUUGAAGACUGCACAUUGUGUCCAGCAUUCUGAACCAUGGCAACAGUAGCUCCAAAAAUUUGUUUACCAAUUGGGCAUUGGACUCUCCCAGGAGGAAUACCCAAAUCACCAGUUAAUUUGAACUUCCAGAUCAUAUUGGCCCUGGUGCAGGAGAAGGACCUCUGUAUUCCUGUAACACUUCAAUACCAGUGAGCAGUUUAACUAUUAUUGCUGUUUAGAUAAAACUGCUUUAUGAGUAAAUCCCCACUCACCUGACUGACUGCAGCUGUGAUGCAGACUUAUGAUUUUGUUUCAAUCCUACAUAGCCAUACCACUACCAACACUUGGAGGCAAGUCAUGAAACAAAUUCUGCAGCACACAGUCUGAACAUCAUUUGUAAAAAGUCAGGUAUCCAUACAUUAAAUAGUUUUCCAUCUACACUGGCUCAAGUAGUGAAAGUUUAAUUAUAACCACCCUGUACUUCAACCAUUAGACAUCAGUGGAAGUCAUAUUCCCACACAAGAUAGUGUGAUGAAAAUUAAUUGGGAAGAGGGGGGCAGCUCCUUUGCAUUGUACCAUUUCACAGUCACAUAACAGCUGAUCAUAAAAGAAUUCAAGCCUGUUUUAGUGCAGAUUCCAACAGUGGUAAGUCUCAAUUUGAUUCAAGUCCAAUUUGCAAAAUGAGCAACAGCAAUCAUUUGUUUUUCACACAGAACAACACUUGCUAUUCCAACAAGGAAAGCAACAUGGGACAGACAAUAUUACAUUAACUUUUUAUCUAAGUCUUUGUUGCAUUGGACAUAAUAAUGGCUCCUAUGAUAAAAACAUCCAACUGAAUUGUGGUGAUAAUUAUUCAAAGAAAUAAUAAUGGCUUUCAGAAACAAUGGGUUGAGUUCAGUGAAAGUAGCUCAUAAUUUCUUUCGUCUCCAGGUAAUUUGAAACUAUUUUCCUUUAAAAUGGGGAGCCAGGGUAGUUACCUGGAAAUGCUAUUUCAAUCCCUAAAACUAAUUUUAAUUAAGCACUUAACCUGCAAUAGAAACAUUAUUUUACAGUCUACCAUGCGGAUGUAAGAGAGACCUUUGAGAUAAUCAUUGCAAUCAGUGACCAAAGGGAUAUCUUCUAAAACUUUAAAAAGAGUUAAGGAAUUAUCUGAUUACAGAACAUUUGUUUUUCUGACAAAACAAACAUUUUUCUCUGUAUCCAACGCAAACUUUUCAGUUACCUUAGCUCUAAGUGGUUAUGGCAGUUUUUGCUUGUUUAAUUUCAGUAGUUAGUAUUCUGUGCCCUCACUUUUGUAAUGAUCAUGCUGGGAAGCAAAGAUUACAUCAUUCCUGACAUGACUGUAGCCUUACAUUUGUAAGAAUAGAGCACUGCAUUAUUGUGCCACAUGAUGAAAGCCAAAGUGGAGGAAAAUUCAAAUUUGGAAUCCCAUGAGGUCUGGUGUUUGGCAAAUCAUUACUAGACAAAGACAAUUUAAUUACUCUAAAGGUUUGUGAUUAACUUCCACAAAUACACCUCAACUACAAACUAAUUUAUUUGUGUGUCCCAAAAAAUAAUUAUGGGCAUUCAUAAUCUGAUGAGAAACCUAAGUUGAAUUGGCCUUACAUUAUGAAUUUUUUUAUUGUUUUGGCCACUGAACUGCUACAUUAGUUCACACACUUUCACUCCCUUCUGUCUCAGAAUAAUUAGGAAAAAUUUAUCUACAGCAAACACUGUAGAAAUGGAAACCUUAUAAAAUCCUUAUUCUUUCACUGCUCUGAUAGGAUAUUUGCUUUCAGCAUUGUUCAGGGUAAAGAUUACACAGUUCCAAAUGAACUGAGGUAAGAUAAUUUUGAUUCUGCAGCAUUAGGAUACAAAGAUAACAUUUCUAUACACAACAGGAAAUCUGGAAUAAAACCCACACCUUACUAAUGAAACCCUUUAAGCCAUCUAAUUACAGGGAGUUGUUUGCAGAUCGUUAUUGGAACUGUGAGAAACCAGUCAACUUACAAUGGAUACACAGUAUAUGACCUGCUCUAGUCACUUUAUACAUACACUUUCAGUAAUCUUGAAUGAAAAUGUUUGGUACUUCGGGAACAGUUAGUCAUUUAAAUUUUAAAAUUGUGUAGAAUUUGCGAUACAUGUCAGCUGAAUGUGAUUGUACCUGCAUUAUCAACAUGAAACAAGUUAAUUCUUACAGCUAGUUAUGUUGCAGUGCUGUCCUUAAGUGAUUGCUUCAGAAACACCUUGACAGAUAGCUCCCUUUAUCAACAAGAAAAUAUUAAGGCAUGGUUAUGUGAAAUUUAAAUUAAUUUUUGAAGUUAUUGGAAUGAAACUGCAAAUGCAAUGAAAUGUUAACAUCUCACAUGAAUCAUUCUUGUAGAGAAAUUUCUAUUUAACUUAUUACCAUUGUGUGUGUGUAAAGAUUUAACAGCACUUUCUGCAGUACUACUAAGUUUUCUGAGAAUACACAACCCCCAAAGAGACCCAUUAUGUGAUUUCCACACAACUUUUUCAGUUUCAAAGUAUGUACUUUAUAUUCUUCACAUUGCACCAUUUCUAUUUUUUUGGCUGUUUAUUCUUUUGUAACUAGAAACACAUGAACACUUAAAUUGAUCUGCAAUUAUUCAUAUCCAACCUUGCAUAAUACCAGACAAGUUCCUCAAACACAACGUUUUAAGCUCAUCAGUGUAAUUACUGCUGUGUUUGGUGAAGUUAGCUUGGAUGUAACAAUGCGUUUUACAACAAGACCAAUAUUGCAUUGAGCACAGGUGCCCAACUCUCAUUUGGUUUAAUUUAUUGAGGUUAAGAAAGAUCCAAUCAAAUAUCUUCCAGAACAAUAGGGAGUAGUGGGACAUUCAGGAAAUUCAUACAUUUGGACAAAGUUCCAACUUUUAUUCACACAAAAUUUAUUGGCAGCUGACAUAACUGCUCAUGAAGUGCAAAAGUAUGCAUCGCACCACAUUUGAAUACUGCCACAUUCCCACAAAAAGAAAGACUUCAUGAUUAAAAGCCAAAAGUUUUCAACACAUUCACACAGUUAGCACAUGAUUAAAGCAACAAAUCUGUCUUGCACAAUUCUGUGGAAAAACAUUUGAAAUUUGCUAUCAUGAAUGGUGGAAUGUAUAAAGAAAUACUGGAAAAAUUUAACAAAGAUAGUUCCUUUCAAAAUAAAUUCUUACAAAAUUGAGCAAUUCUGUAUUUCAUCACUAUCCCACUACAUUUUAGUUUCAGGGGAUAGUGUUGCACAUAACCUUCUGGAUAUCGCUUUUAUACAAAUGAAUAGUAAGUAUUCUACAUUUGAAAUGU